CCUACGGGCGGCAGCAGUGAGGAAUAUUGGUCAAUGGGCGCGAGCCUGAACCAGCCAAGUAGCGUGAAGGAUGACUGCCCUACGGGUUGUAAACUUCUUGUAUAAAGGAAUAAAGUGAGGCACGUGUGCCUUUUUGUAUGUAUUUUAUGAAUAAGGAUCGGCUAACUCCGUGCCAGCAGCCGCGGUAAUACGGAGGAUCCGAGCGUUAUCCGGAUUUAUUGGGUUUAACGGGAGCGUAGAGGGGUUGUUAAGUCAGUUGUGAAAGUUUGCGGCUCAACCGUAAAAUUGCAAUUUCUACUCGCAGCCUUGCGUACAGUUGAGGUCGGCGUAAUUCGUGGUGUAGCGGUUA
rnacentral:rRNA from 1 species